AGUCGUACGAGAGUUUUUAACUCAAGUGGCGGACGGGUGAGUAACACGUAAGAAUUUGCCUCUAGGAGGGGGAUAACAACUGGAAACGGUUGCUAAUACCCCGUAUGCUUUCGAGUGAAAUGGAUUUCCGCCUAGAGAGAAGCUUGCGGCUGAUUAGCUUGUUGGUGAGGUAAUGGCUCACCAAGGCGACGAUCAGUAUCUGGUUUGAGAGGACGAUCAGACACACUGGAACUGAGACACGGUCCAGACUCCUACGGAGGCAGCAGUGGGGAAUUUUCCGCAAUGGGCGAAAGCCUGACGACAUACCGCGUGAGGAUGACGCUAUGGGUUGUAAACCUCUUUUUUC
rnacentral:rRNA from 1 species